CCAGUCGGCCGGGAUUUGUAUAUGUUCGAAAUAUAAAUUUUUUGUUUUUAAAUCCAGUCAAUAUCGAAAUUAGAGAUGUCGAAUAGAUGUAUCGAUAUCUAUCGAUUGAGAUAUGAAAAGAACCGAACCACCAAUUAUAAGCUAGUCGAACCAGUAUUUUUAAACAUACAGGCAAAAAAUAUAUUUAAAUUAAAAACGUACUACUUAAAUUGUGGAUAGUCCGGCCAGUUUUGGUGACGGGACGGAGGAACAAAUCAAAAUAUCACACAACUCGAUGUUUCUAAGAGAUGGCAGUCCAAAAAAUAACGAAUAUAAAAAUACCAAAGAAUUUAGUACGGCAGCCCUUUUCACAUUUUGAGCGCCAAAUUUCUUAGAUUUUUGUAUGCAAACGACGCAGUUUCAAUUACAAGCUCGCGACUUGGCCAAAACUCUCAACGUGGGUGAUCGAUACGAGCUGCAGCUUGUUCAGGUGACCAAUUCGCAUAGCUUCCACUAGUGGAUGUAUGACGACGACGACUACGACUCCUGUGAUGUCAUGUCGUGAAACUUGGAUGAAACCUACAAGUACUUCGAAGCAACGACGUCAACAAUGCCGCCAUCCCUGCUGACGCCCGGGCACCUGUGAGUCGUCCGCUCCAACAAGUCCUCAAAGUGGCAGCGUGCGCGCCCAAGUCGGACAAUACCCGAAACACUGUAGAUGUGGAGCUUAUUGAUACGGGCGUAAUGGUUACAGUUUGCACAUUUAGUCGGCUGGGAAGCUAUAGCAGACUUUUUGCCAAAUUGAUGGCCAUCAAGGUAGGGCGGACAACAACGCGCAUGUGAUGCUUGUGAAUCCGUAUAACGUGCAUCUAAGCAGGUCGCUGAUAGAUUCCGGCCUGGUGCGUCGCUGUUUGCAGGCCUAGCAGCUCCUUUUUUAGAUCUUAGAUCUCCUCUACUUCGAUGGAUACCUAAAAACAAAAGCAAAAAUCAUUAAACACAAUUUGGAAAUCGCUUCUGAUUUUUUGCUCUGAAUACCUUCAACAUAUCAGCCCAUAUCUAUCGGAAAUACAAUGCGCGCAGCCGACAGAGGCAAAAGGACAAAGUGCCAGCGUCCCUUCCUGCUGCCGUUGACAGCCCGGGGGCACGCGAGUUACACAAAAAAAAAAACUAUGAGGCUGAUGAUCUGGACAUGGCAUUUCUUUUCGUGAUCGAAAGAGUCCUGCCAACCAAUUAGCACCCGAAAAAAUAACCAAAACUUAAAAGGGACUGUUAAAUAGGCCAAAGCUCUGAAACUCAAUGUAAUGAGGCAGCCAAUGCUUGCUAAUGCCUUAUACAAUUUUAGAGCAGUUCACUUCAUAGGAAUCCAUGCCAGACGUAAAUAGAUGGAGAAUGGAGGAGCACGGAAGAGAGGCGGGAUAAUGGGAUCGGGCCGGCAGUGGUCCAGCGCAUGACCAUAUAUGGCCAUGCGAUCACGCCACCAGCUGGGUCCCGUUACGAAGCAGGUGGAGCGCAUCAGACGAGUCGAUGGAAAAGUACGGGCACCGCGUGGAGGAAAGUCCCGUUUUUGCUAAGUAGCGACGGCCGCGGCCGUGCAUCAGCGAGGGAAUAAAAGGAGGCCCGCGGCAGCGUCUCGGGACAUUCGAGUGCGGAGAGUAACAGUCCGUUUAUCGGGAAUCAUAACAACGACGGUAAGGACAACAAGUCAGAAGCCAAUACCAAAGGACCCGGCAUAGGACCUGGAAAGCGAACGUGUCGUGUGCAGACUGAGUGUGGCGGAUCAUAGUCACAACAGUUUUAGAGCCGACAGUGCCACGCUUGGUAGAGGCGGGCUAUAACGGCAGGCGAUAAGAGAACCGAGCGGUGAUAAACCAAAGACUAGGCUAAGGCAUCCCUAAGUAUUAUUCCUCAGAUACCAAUAAAGAACUCGUAU